rnacentral:rRNA from 1 species
GACGAACGCUGGCGGCGUGCUUAACACAUGCAAGUCGAACGGGCCUUGUCCCCUUUUUUUUGGGGGUGGGGUUAGUGGCGAACGGGUGAGUAACACGUGAGUAACCUGCCCCUCACUUCUGGAUAACCGCUUGAAAGGGUGGCUAAUACGGGGUGUUCUGGCCUGCUCGCAUGGGUGGGUUUGGAAAGAUUCGACCGGUUUUGGUUGUUUUGGUGGGGGAUGGGCUCGCGGCCUAUCAGCUUGUUGGUGGGGUGAUGGCCUGCCAAGGCUUUGACGGGUAGCCGGCCUGAGAGGGUUGGCGGUCACACUGGGACUGAGACACGGCCCAGACUCCUACGGGAGGCAGCAGUGGGGAAUAUUGCACGAUGGGCGCAAGCCUGAUGCAGCGACGCCGCGUGAGGGAUGGAGGCCUUCGGGUUGUGAACCUCUUUCGCCAGUGAAGAAGGUCCUGCUCUUUGUGGUGGGGUUGACGGUAGCUGGGUUAAUGAAGCGCCGGCUAACUACGUG